AUGGCCUGGUCCCCUCUCCUCCUCACACUCCUCGCUCACUGCACAGCGUCCUGGGCCCAGGCUGUGCUGACUCCGCUGCCCUCAGUGUCUGCGGCCCUGGGACAGACGGUCACCAUCUCUUGUACUGGAAAUAGCACCCAAAUCGGCAGUGGUUAUGCUGUACAAUGGUACCAGCAGCUCCCAGGAAAGUCCCCUGAAACUAUCAUCUAUGGUGAUAGCAAUCGACCCUCGGGGGUCCCAGAUCGAUUCUCUGGCUUCAGCUCUGGCAAUUCAGCCACACUGGCCAUCACUGGGCUCCAGGAUGAGGACGAGGCUGAUUAUUACUGCCAGUCCUUAGAUGACAACCUCGAUGGUCACACAGUGCUCUGGGCCAAGGAGGAACUACAAAGGCCUGAGCAGCUCCUGGGAGUACAACCACCUGCAACCCCACCUGCUGUGUUCCUGCCUCAGUUGCUCAGCCCUGACAACUUUGUAUCUUCAGUCCUGCCCUGUUCUGUCCGCCUUCCCAUCACAGGGCCACAUCGCCACCAGAUGCUCGUGCUUCUGUGA